AACAACGAAUGGUCACCGGAAUUAUUUUUCAGUCAUUACAUUGUUUUAGUCUGAAAGAGUAUGUUUCGGGUGUUGUCUUUAUUAUUUGAACUCAGUCAUGUCUGUUGUCCUGAAAUUGUUAGCUAUAAGAGCUGUACAGUGGUAACUACCAUAAAGAGCCGGCUUGUGCUGUGUAUGAAGUUUAAUUUAUUCAAAAGUCAUGUAACUACGACAUAUUUCUGACACUCUAUGGUUGCUAUAAUGUUGAUUUUCAUGAUUUCAGUCAUGCCCUCAUACUUCCCAGUUACUGUAGAAUACUUUUUAGAAUAUUUCUGAUACUGUAAUGUUGCUGAAAAACCUGAGUGUGAUCAGGUGAAAUGACUUUUGUCUGGACCUAACACUGGAGAGCCUGUGUUCGAAUGUCCCGUAAUGGCACCGUAAUGGUGUUAUGUUGCAGACACCAAGUGACGGGAUCUUGACUGAACCUUCUGGAGACCAAGAAGGGAGUGAGAGAUCCACUUCAUCCUUACAACAGACACCAAGUGACCUGACUGAACCCUCUGGAGACCAUGAAUGGAGUGAGAUAUCCACUUCAUUCUUACAACAGACACCAAGUGACCUGACUGAACCCUCUGGAGACCAUGAAUGGAAUGAUAGAUACACUUCAUCCUUACAACAGACACCAAGUGUUCCGAUCCUGAUGAAACCUUUUGAAGAUCAAGAAAGGAGUGGAAGAUCCACUUCUUCCUUACAACAGACACCAAGUGACCUGACUGAACCCUCUGGAGACCAUGAAUGGAAUGAGAGAUAAAUUCUCAAAAUUCUCAAAUUUUCAAAAUUCUCAUUAUUUCCUGGAAUAUCUUAUUUUGAUUAUUUUAUUUUUCCAUUUUUAAUAAAUAAUGCCUUCUUUUACAGGUGGGAAUAAGAGACGCACGUGGACAGAUUAUGAAGUGAAGGCUGUUGAGCGACAUAUGUUUGAUUUCAUAACAAGCCAUAAAGUUUCAGGUAAAACGA